AUUGAACGCCGGCGGAAUGCUUUACACAUGCAAGUCGAACGGCAGCACGGACUUCGGUCUGGUGGCGAGUGGCGAACGGGUGAGUAAUGUAUCGGAACGUGCCCAGUCGUGGGGGAUAACGUAGUGAAAAUUACGCUAAUACCGCAUACGAUCUAUGGAUGAAAGCGGGGGAUCGCAAGAGCUCGCGCGAUUGGAGCGGCCGAUAUCAGAUUAGGUAGUUGGUGGGGUAAAGGCCCACCAAGCCAACGAUCUGUAGCUGGUCUGAGAGGACGACCAGCCACACUGGAACUGAGACACGGUCCAGACUCCUACGGGAGGCAGCAGUGGGGAAUUUUGGACAAUGGGCGAAAGCCUGAUCCAGCCAUUCCGCGUGCAGGAUGAAGGCCCUCGGGUUGUAAACUGCUUUUGUACAGAACGAAAAGGUUUCUACUAAUACUAGGAGCUCAUGACGGUACUGUAAGAAUAAGCACCGGCUAACUACGUGCCAGCAGCCGCCGUAA
rnacentral:rRNA from 1 species